GAAAGUAUAUCUCAGUGGUAGAGUGUUUGCUUAGCAUGCAUGAGGUCCUGGGUUCAAUUCCCAGUACCUCCA
rnacentral:tRNA from 1 species